UAGAAGGCAGGAUGCUCUUUACUCUUCAGCAACCAGUCUGGAGAACAGAGAAGGAAGACAGCAGCAGUAUAUGAACUUGGGGACUUUGCAUCUGCUGCUUGGACUACACGUGAGGUGCUAUUGCCAGGAGACUAGAGCUGAGAUGUGAGCAUCGGAAUGAACAGGGUGGGGAAAUUGAGGUACAGGGAGGUGAAGUAACUUGCCCAAGGUGACCCAACAGCAGACCAAUUUGUGAAGUUCUUCCAGGUGCAAAAUUCCCCAUGUUUCCAAAUCCUGAGAGCUGCUGGAUGCCCGAGAAACAGCCACACCAGCCAGAAACUGGCCGAUGUUUGUAAGGACUGAGUGAAACAUGAGUAUCAGCUUCAGGAUUUGGCCCGGUCAUUUUUUAGGGUUUUGGUUCAAGCAGAGGUUGGACAGGAGGAGAAGAUCUUUCGUGAUUCAGACAGGCUGGGUGCUGUGCCCUGUUUCCUCAAGAACACAGAGCUACUGGAUCUGCGUGCUGCUGUUGCAGCUGCAUUGUGCCUUGUCUGCGGAUGUGUGACACAGCUCAAAGGGUGACACAAUGCUGGGAAACCAGAGGAAAAGCGAAUGGAACUGUAAAGUUCUCCCUCCCCCCCUUUGUUCAGCAGGGAGUCCUCUGAAUUAACUUCAACUGAGAGGAACUCAUUUUGGGUUUUCCCUAAACAAAGCAACAGAGCAUGGUUGUCCAUUGUUCUUAUACACUGGAGUCUAAUACCUCUUCUCCUUUUGUCUGUCUUUUUAAAAAAAAUCACUCUGCUAGAGUGAAUAUUGUACAGUUUCUUAUCCCAUGAAUACAGACAAAGCCUCCACUCUUCUUGCUUCCUACAGGGCAUCUCCAUGGAGGAUUCCAUAGCAGUGCUGUAAUAUAUUGGUAUUAAUGAGCACAUCAUUCAGUCCCCUAUUCCGGCUUUUUCAACAAGCCCAUACUCACAAACAAACUUUCAGGACAGUAUUUAUCUGUUUCAAACUGAAACUGCAGAAGUAAUUAAAAGCUAGGUGAUGGCAGGUCUGUAUGUCCAGCUAGCCUUAUUUUCUCUUGCACAUUCACAAUUUUGUAAUUGGCCACUGGAUCGCUAACCUUUUCAUGAUUGGCCCUAGAUUGCCCUCCUACUAUUCAGUGUUCAUAACUGUUAAUGGGAAUUCUGCAUAUAGCCUGAAAAAGUACGUAAUAGCCUGAAUCGAUGGCUAUAUGUUUAUUAUCCUCUCUUUGCACAGGGCUUCAGCAUUGCUCUCUACAGUUAUGAAACUUCAUCUUUAAAGUACUGAAAGAAUAGAGCUACAGGGUAAAACUGUACUGAAAAUGUCUUAUAAAUGACCAGUGUUUGUAUUUUUAAUUUAAAAAAAAGUGAAUACAAAUAUUAAAGAAACUCCUUAGCA